AGGAUAAACGCUGGCGGCGUGCCUAACGCAUGCAAGUCGAACGAGGCCUUCGGGUCUAGUGGCGGACGGGUGAGUAACACGUAGGAACCUGCCCGGAAGUGGGGGACAACUCCGCGAAAGCGGGGCUAAUACCGCAUACGGUCUACGGACCAAAGCCUUCGGGCGCUUUCGGAGGGGCCUGCGGCGGAUUAGCUAGUUGGUGGGGUAACGGCCUACCAAGGCGACGAUCCGUAGCUGGUCUGAGAGGAUGAUCAGCCACACUGGGACUGAGACACGGCCCAGACUCCUACGGGAGGCAGCAGUGGGGAAUAUUGGACAAUGGGCGCAAGCCUGAUCCAGCCAUGCCGCGUGAGUGAUGAAGGCCUUAGGGUUGUAAAGCUCUUUCGGCGGGACGAUAAUGACGGUACCCGCAGAAGAAGCCCCGGCUAACUUCGUGCCAGCAGCCGC
rnacentral:rRNA from 1 species